rnacentral:rRNA from 1 species
AGCCUGAUGCAGCGACGCCGCGUGAGGGAUGGAGGCCUUCGGGUUGUAAACCUCUUUCGCCAGUGAAGCAGGCCUGCUCCUUGUGGGUGGGUUGACGGUAGCUGGAUAAGAAGCGCCGGCUAACUACGUGCCAGCAGCCGCGGUAAUACGUAGGGCGCGAGCGUUGUCCGGAAUUAUUGGGCGUAAAGAGCUCGUAGGCGGCUGGUCGCGUCUGUCGUGAAAUCCUCUGGCUUAACUGGGGGCUUGCGGUGGGUACGGGCCGGCUUGAGUGCGGUAGGGGAGACUGGAACUCCUGGUGUAGCGGUGGAAUGCGCAGAUAUCAGGAAGAACACCGGUGGCGAAGGCGGGUCUCUGGGCCGUUACUGACGCUGAGGAGCGAAAGCGUGGGGAGCGAACAGGAUUAGAUACCCUGGUAGUCACGCCGUAAACGUUGGGCACUAGGUGUGGGGGCCUUUUCCGGGUCUUCCGCGCCGUAGCUAACGCAUUAAGUGCCCCGCCUGGGGAGUACGGCCGCAAGGCUAAAACUCAAAGGAGUUGACGGGGGCCCGCACAAGCGGCGGAGCAUGCGGAUUAAUUCGAUGCAACGCGAAGAACCUUACCAGGGCUUGACAUGUGCCGGUCGGCUCCGGAGACGGGGUUUCCUCCUUGUGGGGUCGGUUCACAGGUGGUGCAU